CAGCCUGGAGAUCAGCUCAGACAAGAAGACGACCAGGGAAGGCACACAGACCAGCAUGGAUCGCUUGAGCCCAUCUACUCGGGAGGCUGAGGCACGACAGUCGCUUGAACCCAUGAGGCGGAGGUUACAGUGAGCCGAGAUCGCGCCACGGCACUCCAGCCUGAGCAACAGAGCAAGACUCGGUCAAAAAGAAAAGACGAGACAAAGAAAUAAAACUCUGGGAAACGCUGCUGCUGUUUGACAUCGCACAGUCAGAAGGGAUCGUCUCAGCCAGCCUGCAGCAUCUGUCACUUUGACCAUGAGACGCUGCCUCGAUUUCCAAUCCAGGUGCAGAGCUUCAGAUAGGAGUUUGGGAAGCACAACAAUCCCCAUCUCUAUUUUUUUCAACUUUCUUUCCAAGAAAAUAGGACCUUGGGUCCAAUUCCCAGA